GUGUUUACUUUGGCAGCACACAUACUAAAACUGGAAUGAUACAUUAAGACUCUUGUGCAAGAAUGACACGCAAAUCCAUGAAGUGUUCCAUAUUUCU
rnacentral:snRNA from 1 species